rnacentral:rRNA from 1 species
GUGCGUAGGUGGUUGAAUAAGUUAUCUGUGAAAUUCCUGGGCUUAACCUAGGCAGGUCAGAUGAUACUGUACGACUCGAGUAUGGGAGAGGGUAGUGGAAUUUCCGGUGUAGCGGUGAAAUGCGUAGAGAUCGGAAGGAACACCAGUGGCGAAGGCGGCUACCUGGCCUGAUACUGACACUGAGGCACGAAAGCGUGGGGAGCAAACAGGAUUAGAUACCCUGGUAGUCCACGCUGUAAACGAUGUCA